GUGCAUGCUCCGGGGUGUCCACGUGAUGUGGGCUGAGAUGGCAAGAGCCGAACCCGCGAACUUGAUCCGGUUCAUACCGGCGAAAGAAGAGCUGCUGGCCCGGCG
rnacentral:ncRNA from 2 species